GUGUCUGUGUUCUCUUCAUAAGUCCCACUCUUCUGUCCUCUCUACCUAUUCAAUCAUGGCUUUUGUAUCAAUUUUGUUGCAAGCAAUGGGAAAAUUGCAGUGCAUCUUCGACAAAUAUGCUGGAGUCGAUGGAGACAAGUCUACAAUGACCAAGAAAGAACUCGCUGAGUUGUUGCGCAACGAGCUUGGAGAGGUGGACCCAAAACAAGUUGAAAAUAUCCUUGCAGAGCUGGAUAAGGACAAUAGUGGCACUGUUAGUUUCGCAGAGUUCACCGUGAUUGCAGUACAAUUGUUCAAGGACAUUUCCGAUUGUCUUCAAGAAUAAAAGUACAUGUCAUAAUCAUGUGUUCUGGGGAAACAGAUAAAUCAUAGAUGGGUUUGCUUAAAGAACCUCAAAGGUGUGUCUUUGAAGAUAAAUCAUUGAUUUUGAAUAUCAGAUGUUAACUAACACAAAUAAAUGUUGUCACAUUUUAUAA